rnacentral:misc_RNA from 1 species
GAUGAAGAACGUAGCGAAAUGCGAUAAGUAGUGUGAAUUGCAGAAUUCAGUGAAUCAUCGAAUCUUUGAACGCACAUUGCGCCCCUUGGUAUUCCAUGGGGCAUGCUUGUUCGAGCGUCAUUUGUACCCUCAGGCUUUGCUUGGUGUUGGGUGUUUGUCCUUUCCCUGCGUCAGGACUCGCCUCAAAUUCAUUGGCAGCCGAUGUAUUGGUUUGAAGCGCAGCACAAUUUGCGAUUCAGGCUGGUGACCAUGGGCGUCCAGUAAGCACAUUUAACACUUUUGACCUCGGAUCAAGUAGGGAUACCCGCUGAACUUAAGCAUAUCAAUAAGCGGAGGA